rnacentral:sRNA from 1 species
AAAGCAUUGCUGAUCAUCUUCGUUGGAUUUUUUGCCGUUUUGCAGGUAGGUUUAUUAGCAUCUCCAGGGACAGUUGAAAGCAUUGCUGAUCAUCUUCGUUGGAUUAUUAGCCGCUUUGCAGGUAGGUUUAUUAGCAUCUCCAGGGACAGUUGAAAGCCUCGUUGAUCAUUUUCGUUGGAUUUUUGGCCGCUUUGCAGGUAGGUUUAUUAGCGUCUCCAGGGACAUUUGAAAGCAUUGCUG